GGCGAAGGGCCAUAGCUCUGUGGCAGAGCAUCUGCUUUGCAUGCAGAAGGUCCCAGGUUCAAUCCCCAGAUAGGAUUCCUGCCU